AUUAUUCCAAAUUGUCCUCCAGAAUGAUCAGAUCAAUUCACAACUACAAUAUUCCCGUCAGCAUUUGUCAUUUUCUUUUUCUGUCAUUAGCUAAUCUGAUGAGAAACCUGAGGUAGAUAGAAGUUAUGUGACUUGCUCAGAGUAUGUAACUGGUCUCUUGAAUACUCAUGGUCAAGGAGUGGGAGAAGGCAAGAAAAUACGCAACAGACAUUCGCUUCCAACUUAAGUCUUCCUUGUUGUAAACAAGUCACAUGAAAUACUGCUGAUGAAAGUAACCAUGAGUCAGAAUACAGUGCUGUCAGCAAAGUCAUCCCUAAGAACAAACAAUAGCAAUAAACUAGCAACUUGAGAAAAUUUUGACA
rnacentral:lncRNA from 1 species